rnacentral:rRNA from 1 species
GGUAGUAGCAAAUAUUCAAAUGAGAGCUUUGAAGACCGAAGUGGAGAAAGGUUCCAUGUGAACAGCAGUUGGACAUUGGUUAGUCGAUCCUAAGAGAUAGGGAAAUUCCGUUUGAAAGCGCCCGAUCUUGGGCCGCCUAUCGGAAGGGAAUCGGGUUAAUAUUCCCGAACCGGGACGCGGAUAUUGCCGUUCGCGGCAGAUGCGGUAACGCAAACGAACCCGAAGACGCUGGCGGGGGCCCUGGGAAGAGUUCUCUUUUCUUUUUAACGAGCUUUCACCCUGAAAUCAGCUUGCCUGGAGAUAGGGUUUAAUGCUCGGUACAGCACCACACUUCUUGUGGUGUCCGGUGCGCUCUCGACGGCCCUUGAAAAUUCGGGGAAGACAUUGAUUUUCGUGUCCGGUCGUACUCAUAACCGCAGCAGGUCUCCAAGGUGAGCAGCCUCUGGUU